UUCCGGUUGAUCCCGCCGGACCCCACUGCUAUCGGGAUAGGACUAAGACAUGCUAGUCGAGUGGCUCAGCCAAUACGAGCCACGGCAUACAGCUCAGUAACACGUGGCUAAUCUGCCCUUGGGACCGGAACACCCCCGGGAAACUGGGGCUAAUUCUCGAUAGGUAAAGAACUCUGGAAUGAGUCUUUGCUUAAAAGACGUUUGCGUUAUGCUCGUAGACGUCGCCCAAGGAUGAGGCCGCGACCGAUCAGGUUGUUGGUGAGGUAAUGGCUCACCAAGCCUUUUACCGGUGCGGGCCGUGAGAGCGGGAGCCCGGAGAUGGGCACUGAGACAAGGGCCCAGGCCCUACGGGGCGCAGCAGUCGCGAAAACUUUGCAAUACACGAAAGUGUGACAGGGCUAUCCCGAGUGCCAUCCGCUGAGGAAGGCUUUUACCCAGUCUAGAACGCUGGGGGAAUAAGGAGAGGGCAAGUCUGGUGUCAGCCGCCGCGGUAAUACCAGCUCUCCGAGUGGUGUGGAUGUUUAUUGGGCCUAAAGCAUCCGUAGCUGGCUGAGUUAGUCCCUUGUUAAAUCCACCGAAUUAAUCGUUGGAUUGCGGGGGAUACUGCUCGGCUAGGGGACGAGAGAGGCAGACGGUAUUUCCGGGGUAGGGGUGAAAUCCUAUAAUCCCGGGAAGACCACCAGUGGCGAAGGCUGUCUGCUAGAACGCGCCCGACGGUGAGGGAUGAAAGCUGGGGGAGCGAACCGGAUUAGAUACCCGGGUAGUCCCAGCUGUAAACGAUGCAGGCUAGGUGUUUGGACGGCCACGUGCCGUUCUAGUGCCGCAGGGAAGCUGUUAAGCCUGCCGCCUGGGGAGUACGAUCGCAAGAUUGAAACUUAAAGGAAUUGGCGGGGGAGCACCACAAGGGGUGAAGCUUGCGGUUUAAUUGGAUUCAACGCCGGG
rnacentral:rRNA from 1 species